GAUGAGAUGGCCGAAAUUAGAAGGUAUUAGACUGUAAAUCUAAUUGUGAGUUCAUACUCUCUCAUCA
rnacentral:tRNA from 1 species